CGGGGUGUAGCGCAGAGGUAGCGUACUUCGUUCGGGACGAAGUGGUCGUUGGUUCGAAUCCAAUCACCCCGA
rnacentral:tRNA from 1 species